rnacentral:lncRNA from 1 species
ACAUUGUUUAUCCCAAACCGUUUGGAACCCAUACAGCAGCAGCACUAUUUCUGCAGAAAUUAUCAAAGCCGACAGUUUUAGCAUGUCUGCGUCUCACACUCGAGAUUUAUAUAUUUAUAUUCAUUACUGCUAGCAAACAAAGAAACUAUCGUACCUAAUAAAGCAAGGAUCAGGAAUGGUCUAUUAAACCAACAAACUGAACAGAUCUUUUAAAACCACUCCUAGAGAGCACGAGCAGCAGAGGUCAAAUAUAUUUCGAGCCCAAAGCACUCAACCUUAGCAUGCUAGCAUCAGAAACUAAUGUAGAGAAGAACAACUGCCAUUAAAUGUUCUGCAAAUCUAGUAGAUCAUCAAUUGGACAGAUAUAAUGAGAAGACAUUUGUGACAAAGAGAAAGAAAGCUUUCGAUGAACAGCACCACAGGGAGGUGCCUCGCUACUGGUUGUACCGAGCUUUUGACGGACAGGACAACGGGGAGGCAUGGCUCUACUGGUAGGACAUAAGCAAUGGGAGGUCCGUCGGCAAGAAGCACGCAGCACACCGAAACAAAAAUACUAACUGGAGAAAUCUUGACGAUUUAAAAAUAAAUAAACUGCUGCAACAAAAGAAGCUUAUAAUCAAUCGAGUUGCGGACUUGUUUAUAUGAAGAAGGAUCACCAAAGGAAAUAGUAGAUCAAGAAAGAAAACCAAAAAACACAUUAGAAAGUAAACAUGGGGCGAAAUGAAUAAAGUAAAACCAAGACAGAGGUCACCCAAGGCAGAACAUCAAACAGUGCGAGAAAGGAACAUCAAAGAAACACUAAAGAGAGAAAACAACGAAGAGGAAAAAAGUCCAUGCAAAUAUAAAAAGAAGCCAUGCCCAUGGCCUCCAAAAAACUGAUCAAGAAGCGGAAAAAACAGUACACCGAUCAACCAAUGCAUUUUUCAGAUUUAGAACAUACCUAGGAACUUUUUUUUUUGAGAAACUGAACAUACUUAGGAACUACCCCAUUCGGCUACCAUUGGUGAAGUAUCUUGAUUCUUUCUAUAACAUAGUACGGUAAAAGGAAAGGCACAGACACAGUUUACACCCACAACCCCGAAACAAUAUCAACCAUGACCCAUAGAAUAAAGGUAAAACCUUGUAAAUUCUUAAUAAAAACUACACCCAUUGGGCUUAUAAUCAAGCAAGGUACUCCCUCUGUAAAGAAAUAUAAAAGCGUUUGGAUCACUAUUUUAGUGAUGUAGACACUCUUAUAUUUCUUUACGGAGGGAGUAACAUAUAUCUUUUCUUAGAUAAUACCUCAAACAGAACAUUAUAUGUACAUCUCACACUACAGGGAAAAAGACCAUACUAUACACCUACAUAUGACCAGAUUAGAAAGUCCACCAUGCCGCAAAAAUAUUUAGCACCCAUUUAAAUAUGGAUUUGGGUUCAUACCUACACAAAGCACAGUAAUUAUUGUGAAGAUAGAAAAAAAUGCUCCCACCAUCAAAAAUAUACGCCGACAACAGCAUCAUCCAAUUAGAGCUCGAAAACAGGAACAAGGAAGGCACCUAUAGCUGUUCAUGGAGCUGUGUCUGAACCUCUAUUUGCAUAUGUAUAGCUUCUGCCAAGUUCCUAAGAAAAGGAGAAGGGAACAAAUGUAAAUUUGUAAGGUCAUGGUAUUACUAUGCAUGCAUUGUAGUAUAAUAAUUCAGAGAUAUUACUUGUUUGUUAACGGAUCACUUCCACUCCUAACCCCAGUCUCCAACACGAGGAGUUAGAGGAAACAUUUGUUCCCAACUUGAUCACAAUAGUUUACGCGCAGCCAACCUUCACUGAAUUUGUCAGUUCCCAUCUCCCCGAAUUUGUCUGUUCCCAUCUCCCUCUCAGAAAGAUAUGUCCAAAUACCAAACAACAGUAAUAGUAACUGGGUUUCCAUGUUCCAAGUAGCCAAGAUAGACAACUCCAAACUGACCUUUGCCAAUGGAAUUCUCGAAUCUAUUUGUGAUGGUCUUGAGUUCUUAGUAACUGAACUGACGGUUAUCGAAUUGCAAAGAGACAGCAUCUCCGUUCUCUUCUUUUGAGUUAUUUCCAUUCAGCGGUCUGACAGAAGGAUUUGCAUAGGUACUACAGUAUUAGCAACCAAGAACAUGAUACACUAUAUUUUUCCUGAACAAUAAUUAGACAAGUACUUGGUUUCCAGUCAAUAUAAGUCACCAUUUUCAGUUCUUCUCCUGCAAAGGGACAAUGUAAUAAUUACCACCACAACCACCAGUACAGAAACUACAACGGCAGCCCCAUCGGAAGCUAGAUGAGCUCCGGGAUGGUGGCGUCGAGGGCGUCAGGUUUGGCUUUAGGCGUGAGCAUCUUCACCUCGUGCACGAUCAGCCUAGGCUUAUAAUAAUCCAAAGAUUGGGGUCGUAGCGCCCGCCGCCGAGCUUGUGCCGCCGCAACAACUAAAUCUACUUUAUCAAUUGAAUGCACUUCAUCGAUUGGAAAGUGAAAACAAAAAACCAGCCUACAUUGGACAUGCAAAAAUUCUCUUCAUAUAUCUCAACUUGUGGCACCAUAAGACGAAAUGUCAUAACUCAUAAGUAAACUGAAGGGUGAGUUCGUAUGUUGAUGCGUCCGCAAUGAGACAAUUCGGCUCAAAUGGAAAAUAGCCAAAUACAGAUCAAGAAAAUUGAGCAUGUAAAGUUUUAUAGCUUAGCUCAAUAGCAUAUAAAAUGCCCCCAUACUCUAGCAUGCUUGAAAAAGAAUUAAAAUUUUCAACAUGAAUAGGCAGGAUAACAAUGCAAUGGCUGUGAUUCUUCAGGAGGCCUUCCAACCACACAAAAUUCAUUAAGUAAUGAGUAACAGAUAGAGUGACUAAGAUCUGAUUAGCUGAAGGCAUACCUUCCCACAGAUGCCUGAAUAUGGUGAGAAGUUUUUCCUCUGCAACAUGAUAUGGAC